UUGGCUCAGGAUGAACGCUGGCGGCGUGCCUAACACAUGCAAGUCGAACGAAGCACUGAGACUUCGGUUUUUGUGCUUAGUGGCGGACGGGUGAGUAACGCGUGAGCAAGCUGCCUUUCAGAGGGGGAUAACGAUUGGAAACGAUCGCUAAUACCGCAUAACGUAUUCGGAUGGCAUCAUCUGAAUACCAAAGGAGCAAUCCGCUGAAAGAUGAGCUCGCGUCUGAUUAGAUAGUUGGUGAGGUAACGGCCCACCAAGUCGACGAUCAGUAGCCGGACUGAGAGGUUGAACGGCCACAUUGGGACUGAGACACGGCCCAGACUCCUACGGGAGGCAGCAGUGGGGAAUA
rnacentral:rRNA from 1 species